rnacentral:rRNA from 1 species
UAGGGAAUCUUCCGCAAUGGACGCAAGUCUGACGGAGCAACGCCGCGUGAGUGAAGAAGGAUUUCGGUUCGUAAAACUCUGUUGUUAGAGAAGAACAGCGCAUAGAGUAACUGUUAUGCGUGUGACGGUAUCUAACCAGAAAGCCACGGCUAACUACGUGCCAGCAGCCGCGGUAAUACGUAGGUGGCAAGCGUUGUCCGGAUUUAUUAGGCGUAAAGCGAGCGCAGGCGGUCAAUUAAGUCUGAUGUGAAAGCCCCCGGCUCAACCGGGGAGGGUCAUUGGAAACUGGUUGACUUGAGUGCAGAAGAGGAGAGUGGAAUUCCAUGUGUAGCGGUGAAAUGCGUAGAUAUAUGGAGGAACACCAGUGGCGAAGGCGACUCUCUGGUCUGUAACUGACGCUGAGGUUCGAAAGCGUGGGUAGCAAACAGG